GGAGGAAUUCCCGAGUGGCCAAAGGGGGCAGACUGUAAAUCUGUUGCGUUAGCUUCGAUGGUUCGAAUCCAUCUUCCUCCACCA
rnacentral:tRNA from 1 species